rnacentral:rRNA from 1 species
UACGUAGGGGGCUAGCGUUGUCCGGAUUUAUUGGGCGUAAGAGCGUGUAGGCGGCCAGGUAGGUGGGUUGUGAAAACUGGAGGCUCAACCUUCAGACGUCGACCCAAACCCCCUGGCUAGAGUCCGGAAGAGGAGAGUGGAAUUCCUGGUGUAGCGGUGAAAUGCGCAGAUAUCAGGAAGAACACCGGUGGCGAAGGCGGUUCUCUGGGCAUGUUCUGACGCUGAGGAGCGAAAGUGUGGGGAGCGAACAGG